rnacentral:rRNA from 1 species
GAUGAACGCUGGCGGCGUGCCUAAUACAUGCAAGUCGAGCGAACGGACGAGAAGCUUGCUUCUCUGAUGUUAGCGGCGGACGGGUGAGUAACACGUGGAUAACCUACCUAUAAGACUGGGAUAACUUCGGGAAACCGGAGCUAAUACCGGAUAAUAUUUUGAACCGCAUGGUUCAAAAGUGAAAGACGGUCUUGCUGUCACUUAUAGAUGGAUCCGCGCUGCAUUAGCUAGUUGGGAAGGUAACGGCUUACCAAGGCAACGAUGCAUAGCCGACGUGAGAGGGUGAUCGGCCACACUGGAACUGAGACACGGUCCAGACUCCUACGGGAGGCAGCAGUAGGGAAUCUUCCGCAAUGGGCGAAAGCCUGACGGAGCAACGCCGCGUGAGUGAUGAAGGUCUUCGGAUCGUAAAACUCUGUUAUUAGGGAAGAACAUAUGUGUAAGUAACUGUGCACAUCUUGACGGUACCUAAUCAGAAAGCCACGGCUAACUACGUG